rnacentral:rRNA from 1 species
GGCUUUUUGAGUUAAUUUAAAGUCUAGCCUGCCCAAUGAUAAUUUAAAUGGCCGCGGUAUAUUGACCGUGCUAAGGUAGCAUAAUCAUUAGUUUUUUAAUUGAAGACUGGAAUGAAAGGUUUGAUGAGAAAGUUACUGUCUCCAAAUAAUUAUAUUGAAUUUUAUUUUUAUGUAAGAAAGCUUAAAUUAUUUUGAAAGACGAUAAGACCCUAUAGAGUUUUAUUAAGUUUAUAAUUUUAUAUUUUGGUAAAAAAUUUAUUUGAUUAUAUUUUUAAUUUGAUUGGGGUGAUCAGAAAAUU